UGACAUUUCAAUCAGCUGCUCCAAAAGAUCUAUUCUUCUGCUUCCUGAUCUCCCAUCAACUGUGUAGCAAAGGUUCUUCUCAUUGGCUCACUGUGAUGGAAAGCACCACAAGGCAAGGAAUUGAGGGCAGCCUCUAGCCAACAUCCAGUGAGGAACUGAGCCCUCAGCCCACAGAGAACUGAAUCUUGUCAAGACCACUGAGCUAGGAAAUGGACUUGAUGCUUGGAGGUGCAGAAGCCAUCCAGAGACCAUGAGGAGGGAAUCCGCACACUACGGAUGAGAGAGUGGGAAGAUGGAAGAAACGAUUUGCAUCACCCAUUCGAGGAUUCUCCAAACUAGGAUCAAUCUACAUUUCUUCUGACUUUACAAAGCAGCUGGACAAGCCAUAAACCAUACUCCCAUCGUCCAAGAAAGGCAAAGUUACAACCAAUUGGACACCAGCUGACCAAUGGAGGAUUCCCUACAAGGCACAACAGGACAUGUAAGAGAUCCA
rnacentral:lncRNA from 1 species